rnacentral:rRNA from 1 species
GAUGAACGCUAGCGGCAGGCUUAAUACAUGCAAGUCGAGGGGCAGCGCGGUAGCAAUACUGGCGGCGACCGGCAAACGGGUGCGGAACACGUACGCAACUUACCCCUAACUAGAGGAUAGCCCAGAGAAAUUUGGAUUAACCCUUUAUAGUACGACUGGUUGGCAUCAACUGGUUGUUAAAACUCCGGUGGUUAGGGAUGGGCGUGCGUCUGAUUAGGUAGUUGGUAGGGUAAUGGCCUACCAAGCCGACGAUCAGUAGCUGAUGUGAGAGCAUGAUCAGCCACACGGGCACUGAGACACGGGCCCGACUCCUACGGGAGGCAGCAGUAAGGAAUAUUGGUCAAUGGACGCAAGUCUGAACCAGCCAUGCCGCGUGAAGGAUGAAGGUCCUCUGGAUUGUAAACUUCUUUUAUCUGGGACGAAACACUGGUUUUCUAACCAGCUUGACGGUACCAGAGGAAUAAGCACCGGCUAACUUCGUGCCAGCAGCCGCCGUAA